AGCGAACGCUGGCGGCAGGCCUAAUACAUGCAAGUCGAGCGGGUCCUUCGGGAUUAGCGGCGGACGGGUGAGUAACGCGUGGAACGUGCCCUUUGGUACGGAACAACUGAGGGAAACUUCAGCUAAUACCGUAUGUGCCCUUCGGGGAAAGAUUUAUCGCCAUUGGAGCGGCCCGCGUUGGAUUAGGUAGUUGGUGAGGUAAAGGCUCACCAAGCCUACGAUCCAUAGCUGGUCUGAGAGGAUGACCCAGCCACACUGGGACUGAGACACGGCCCAGACUCCUACGGGAGGCAGCAGUAGGGAAUCUUGCGCAAUGGGCGAAAGCCUGACGCAGCCAUGCCGCGUGAAUGAUGAAGGUCUUAGGAUUGUAAAAUUCUUUCACCGGGGACGAUAAUGACGGUACCCGGAGAAGAAGCCCCGGCUAACUUCGUGCCAGCAGCCGCGGUAAU
rnacentral:rRNA from 1 species